rnacentral:rRNA from 1 species
UACGUAGGGGGCAAGCGUUGUCCGGAUUUACUGGGCGUAAAGAGCGUGUAGGCGGCCACGCAGGUCCGUUGUGAAAACUGGAGGCUCAACCUCCAGCUGUCGACGGAAACCGUGUGGCUAGAGUCCGGAAGAGGAGAGUGGAAUUCCUGGUGUAGCGGUGAAAUGCGCAGAUAUCAGGAGGAACACCGGUGGCGAAGGCGGGUCUCUGGGCAAUUCCUGACGCUGAGGCGCGAAAGCGUGGGGAGCAAACGGG